AGUUUCUGCCUUGUCACUGCGGUGCCAGAAGGUUGACUAUAUGCCGCUCCCUGUGGUGAAACACAGGGGCUAGCACAGUGCCAUUAAAGGAGAGAAGAAAAUGGUGAUGCUCACUAAAGGGGACAUGGAAACAGGAGCUCUUAUCCUUGCUGGACUCACUUCAUAUCUCAAUUGAGACCACAAAGAGCACACAAGUGAUGAGCUGAUCUGGGGCCCUACG